GAUGAAGAACGUAGCGAAAUGCGAUAAGUAAUGUGAAUUGCAGAAUUCAGUGAAUCAUCGAAUCUUUGAACACACAUUGCGCCCGCCAGCACUCUGGCGGGCAUGCCUGUUCGAGCGUCAUUUCAACCAUCAAGCCCCCAGGGGCUUGUGCUGGGGCCCUGCGGCUGCCCGCAGGCCCUGAAAACCAGUGGCGGGCUCGCUAGUCACACCGAGCGCAGUAGCACAUCUCGCUCAGGGCGUGCGGCGGGCUCCUGCCGUGAAACCCCCCACUGUAACCCCAAAGGUUGACCUCGGAUCAGGUAGGAAUACCCGCUGAACUUAAGCAUAUCAAUAAGCGGAGGA
rnacentral:misc_RNA from 1 species